ACUAAUGGAUUCUACUUCACAUUAUAUAGGACAUGGGACUUCGGAGCUUAAUGGGAUAUCGAUCUUCAUCAUGCUUAAUACUUACUUUUCAAGAGAAAGCAAUUGUAGACCAGUGUGGUUAAGUGACGGUUACAAGCCCUCAUAUCCAGUAAGCAGAAGAUGAAAUAUAAUUUGAUGUUUGCCCUUGUUUGAAUACUCCAUGAAGAUGAGGAAAAUACAUGUUUGUGUCUAACAGUGUCUGGCAUGUGUGAUUUCUAUUGAGAUGGACUCAAUCUCAGAGAUUCUAUUCUCAGCUGUGUCCAGUCUACUGAGAGGCCCAUCAAAGAUUACUCAAGGAGCCGUCUCAUGUAGAAAGAUGCCCUCAUAGGCUCUCACAAACUGUUGCAAGCAUCUCAAAUUUUAUUGACUGCUGGGUCUUACAAUUCCUCACCAGAUGGCUUUGAACACAGUUCGAUCAUCAAUCUCAUUGAUGCUACUGAUAAUUCUGUUGGAACAGCAGGAGAUGGCUCUAGCUCCUAAACCUGCCACUCGAAACACCUGUCAUCACCUCCAAAGAUCUUUCCAAUACCCACUGGUACAGUUGUAACUCAAUCACUUCGCAAGACAGAUAAUUGCAUGUGGCCAAAGAUGUACCUGGUCAACAGGACAGGUUAGACUAUCUGCUCUCAGGUAGUCCCUCCAAAUCAAUGGCUGGACUCGGUUGUUCAAAAUGAAUAGGAAAUCCUAAGGCUUAUCAGCAAAUUGGAAAGUCAUGUUCGAGGUCCUAUCAAGCUAGGCUCCUAAAAGAUAUAGUCCCCACCUGGAGGAGGGGAUCAAAGAAUUUUAAACAGCUCUUUCAUUUUAGGGCCACUAUUUGUGCCCUAAGACUAUGCUUCUUGUACAGAAGCUAGCUAUUAAUUUGCCUCCCACUCAAACAUGUUUGCUUAAAAACUUUAAUUGUGGUUAUUAGGGAAGUUCAGAGUGAUUUGGGUCACAUUACCAGAGAUCAUGUAUCCAAAACACAACUGUAGAGAUCUCUCCCAAAUGUAUCUACCCUUGUUUACUCAUGGGAACUUCCUGGGAAUGUAACUGACUCAUUACAUUGUCACAACUGUGGGCAGUUUCCCUAAAAUGGGAAUCAUCCAGUUAGAAAGGGUAGUAAAAAAUAUGUGUCCAACUUUAUCUAAAGUCAUCAGUGAUGCCAUCUGACCCUUGAAAGGUAUUCAGGUCGGCCGGGUGUGGUGGCUCACACCCGUAAUCCCAGCAGUUUGGGAGGCUGAGGUGGGCAGACCACCUGAGGUCAGGAGUUUGAGACCAGCCUGACCGAUAUGAUGAAUUUUUAGUCUCUACUAAAAAUACAAAAGUUAGCCAGGCAUGGUGGCAUGCGCCUGUAAUCCCAGCUACUCAGGAGCUGAGACAGGAGAAUCACUUGAACACAGGAGGCGGAGGUUGCAGUGAGCCGAGAUUGUACCAUUGUACUCCAGCCUGGGCAACAAGAGCAAAACUCUGUCUAAAAAAAAAAAAAGAAAAGAAAGAAAGAAAAAAGGAAGGUAUUCAGAUCAGCCUCAACUCACUGAAACAUUCUGCUGACUCCUGCUCUAUAACUUGUUGGAUCUGCCAGAUCAUAUCACCCAAGUGGUAAGGCUGUUUCUACAACAGCGUACAACUGCUGCUAAGCUGACUUCGGCUCUAGACCCACUCAAAAUUGGCAGUGUUCUAAGUCACCUGAUAAAUGAAUCAAAGCAG
rnacentral:lncRNA from 10 species